AUGGAGGCUGCGGUGCGGAAGAUGCAGCAGAGGGUGAGGAAGGCACGGGAGGAGACGGAGCGAUGGGAUGACCUCAAUUCCCGCCUCCUGUCCCACUUCUCCAAUGCCGCCGCCAUCAUCACCCGCCUUCCAGUACUUGGAGAUGCUAAAAAUUAUGGUGUCCUGCGGUGUGUGCCCAAUUUCAGGGAGGAUCUCUUGGGGGUGCAGAUGGAGAGCUUGGAGCUCAUAUUUGUUUCAAUGAGGGAGGCUCUGGAGGAGUUCAGUGGCAUUGCCAAAGGUUUGAGCAAGGUACUACGCGAUACUAAUCAGAUGGUGAGGGGUGGAUUGGCAUUCAAUGCGAAACAGUUGCAAUUACAAGUGGGAAUUUUGCCAACUAUUGCGGAUUGCUUGGGUGGGCUACAAACGCUGUCUGAUAUGCACCAGGCUGAGUAUGCGCUAAAAUCAUCAAUCAUCUCUUUGUUGACAUGGAAAAGCAGUUCAAGUGAAAUCGCUGCAAUGCGUCAACUCUUGGUAGACCAACCAAACAUACCGAAAGAUGAAGUGCAAUCUAUUUUCGACAUUAUAUUUGCGGAUGAAAUUUGUUAA
rnacentral:rRNA from 1 species